UUGACCUCAAAUCAGGUAGGAAUACCCGCUGAACUUAAGCAUAUCAAUAAGCGGAGGAAAAGAAACCAACAGGGAUUGCCUUAGUAGCGGCGAGUGAAGCGGCAAAAGCUCAAAUUUGAAAUCUGGCACCUUCGGUGUCCGAGUUGUAAUUUGAAGAUUGUAACCUUGGGGUUGGCUCUUGUCUAUGUUUCUUGGAACAGGACGUCACAGAGGGUGAGAAUCCCGUGCGAUGAGAUGCCCAAUCCUAUGUAA
rnacentral:rRNA from 1 species